CGUUGAAAAAUGAGAUAAGUCGUAACACAGUAGGGGUAACGGAAGCUGCCCCUAACUAAAUAAAAUGUAGUUUAAGAAUUACAUAUCAUUUACACUGAUAAAAUUUCUAUUAAGGAACAUUUUAA
rnacentral:tRNA from 1 species